AGGUUAAGUUACAAAGGGCGCACGGUGGAUGCCUUGGCACUAGGAGCCGAUGAAGGACGGAACUAAUACCGAUAUGCUUCGGGGAGCUAUAAGUAAGCUUUGAUCCGGAGAUUUCCGAAUGGGGGAACCCAGUACACAUCAGUGUAUUGCCUGCAAGUGAAUACAUAGCUUGUUGGCGGCAGACGCGGGGAACUGAAACAUCUCAGUACCCGCAGGAAGAGAAAGAAAACUCGAUUCCCAUAGUAGCGGCGAGCGAAGUGGGAAGAGCCCAAACCGAGAAGCUUGCUUCUCGGGGUUGUAGGACUGGACAUUGGAGUUACCAAAGUUCGACGUAGUCGAAGUCAGCUGGAAAGCUGCGCCAUAGAAGGUGAAAGCCCUGUAAACGAAACGGCGGACUCUCCGUCCAGGAUCCUGAGUACGGCGGAACACGUGAAAUUCCGUCGGAAUCCGGGAGGACCAUCUCCCAAGGCUAAAUACUCCCUAGUGACCGAUAGUGAACCAGUACCGUGAGGGAAAGGUGAAAAGCACCCCGGAAGGGGAGUGAAACAGUUCCUGAAACCGUGUGCCUACAAUUAGUCAAAGCCCGUUAACGGGUAAUGGCGUGCCUUUUGUAGAAUGAACCGGCGAGUUACGUUUGCCUGCGAGGUUAAGAUGAAAAGUCGGAGCCGGAGCGAAAGCGAGUCUGAACAGGGCGCUUCAGUAGGUAGAUGUAGACCCGAAACCAAGUGACCUACCCAUGACCAGGUUGAAGGUGUGGUGAAACACACUGGAGGACCGAACCCAUGUAUGUUGAAAAAUGCUGGGAUGAGUUGUGGGUAGCGGUGAAAUUCCAAACGAACUUGGAGAUAGCUGGUUCUCUCCGAAAUAGCUUUAGGGUUAGCCUCGGAGGAUGGAUCAUGGAGGUAGAGCACUGUUUGAACUAGGGGCCCGUCAAGGGUUACUGAAUUCAGAUAAACUCCGAAUACCAUUGAUCUUACUCCGGGAGUCAGACAGUGAGCGAUAAGGUCCAUUGUCGAAAGGGGAACAGCCCAGAUCACCAGUUAAGGUCCCUAAAUUUAUGCUAAGUGGAAAAGGAUGUGGCGUUGCACAGACAACUAGGAUGUUGGCUCAGAAGCAGCCACCAUUUAAAGAGUGCGUAAUAGCUCACUAGUCGAGUGGCACUGCGCCGAAAAUAUACCGGGGCUAAGCAUAAUACCGAAACUGUGGGUGCACCCGUCAGGGUGCGCGGUAGGAGAGCGUUCUAAGGGCGUUGAAGGUCGAUCGUGAGGACGGCUGGAGCGCUUAGAAGUGAGAAUGCCGGCAUGAGUAGCGAAAGAUCAGUGAGAAUCUGAUCCACCGUAUGACUAAGGUUUCCUGGGGAAGGCUCGUCCUCCCAGGGUUAGUCGGGAUCUAAGGCGAGGCCGCAAGGCGUAGUCGAUGACAAGCAGGUUGAGAUUCCUGCACUAGUUUAUUUUGUUUAAGCGAUGGAGGGACGCAGGAGGCUAAGGAAAGCGCACGGCUGGAAAAGUGCGUCCAAGCAGUAAGUCCGGUAGCGAGUGAAAUGCUUGCCGCCUUAAGGACAAGCUGUGAUGGGGAGCGAAAUUAAAGUAGCGAAGUUCCUGAUGUCACACUGCCAAGAAAAGCUUCUAGUGAGAAAUAAACUACCCGUACCGCAAACCGACACAGGUAGUCGAGGAGAGUAUCCUCAGGUGAGCGAGCGAACUCUCGUUAAGGAACUCGGCAAAAUGACCCCGUAACUUCGGAAGAAGGGGUGCUGACCGCAAGGUCAGCCGCAGUGAAUAGGCCCAAACAACUGUUUAUCAAAAACACAGGUCUCUGCUAAAUCGUAAGAUGAUGUAUAGGGGCUGACGCCUGCCCGGUGCUGGAAGGUUAAGAGGAUGAGUUAGCGCAAGCGAAGCCCAGAAUUGAAGCCCCAGUAAACGGCGGCCGUAACUAUAACGGUCCUAAGGUAGCGAAAUUCCUUGUCGGGUAAGUUCCGACCCGCACGAAAGGCGUAAUGAUUUGGGCACUGUCUCAACGAGAGACUCGGUGAAAUUAUAGUACCCGUGAAGAUGCGGGUUACCCGCGACAGGACGGAAAGACCCCAUGGAGCUUUACUGUAGCUUGAUAUUGAGUGUUGGUACCGCUUGUACAGGAUAGGUAGGAGCCGUAGAGAUCGGAACGCUAGUUUCGAUGGAGGCAUUGGUGGGAUACUACCCUAGCUGUAUGAACACUCUAACCCGCGC
rnacentral:rRNA from 2 species